UGUCGGUGUCGGUGCCGGUGCCCACAGCCGUGCCCACAGCCGGUGCCGGUGCCCACAGCCGGUGCCGGUGCCGCCCGUGCCUGCCGGGGGUGCGGGCCCGGCCCCAGAGCGGAGGAUGCUGCAGCGGGGGCACCCCGGGAAGAGGCAUGCCCGGCUUUGCCAGCGGCGCGGCGCGGGGGCACGGGCUGUACGCUGAGGAACCGCAAUAAAGCCGCCCCCUCUGGGCUCCUGCCAA